AUGCGGCCAUGGGGCACAUGGGCAAAGAAGAUCCGUAAUAUGGACACGCGAGAACAUGUGUGGCUUGGCACAUUCGCCACUGUGAAGGAGUUGGUGCGCGCCUACGAUGCCACGGCGCUUCGCUACUUUGGGAGCUAGGCUAAGCUCAACUUCCCCAUCGACGUUCCGUCGCGGCCUCCCUCACGCCUCUCGGGCCGAGGAGAAGGAGCACUGCAAGGUUGA
rnacentral:rRNA from 1 species